ACAGGGGUCAGUGGUGGAAGUGAGACCGAAAUAGACUCUGAAGUAAUAUCUGGACUUUGAAAUUGCAGCUGCUCCCAACCCCAGAACCUUUGCUGUCUUGGGACGGAUCACCACUGCAAGAGGGGAAGUUGCUACUGUGAUGAAUUCUGCCAUGUGGCACCAGACUGCCACCCAGACCACAGUGUCCUCUGCAACCCUGCUUCUCAGAUGACCAAGAUGGUGCUGCAGAUGGUGCUGAGGAUGGAGAACCCACCAAGCCCCGCUAGGAGCCACCUAGACUGGAUGCAGAGCAUGGUUCAGCGAGUUCUCCAAACCAGCCUCCCAGGAAUGCCAUUCACCAUGGCUGUGAGGAGAAUAAAGAAGAGAGCCUGACUCCUCUCCUGAGGCCCCUUCCCCACCCUGAGCCAGCAGGAUCCACGGAGCAGAGGUCAUCUGUCCCCAGCUUGGCCCACUGAGGCCAGCAUGGCUGGGCCCAGGAUGCUUGUCUCUCAGCUCCCAUCCUGUGUACUUCCACAUUGGUUUAACCAGAGGAAAACCGAAAUCUACAAUUGUCAUAAACACAUUUAAAUGUGCGUAGAAUCAGCCAUACAAAUUGUGAAACAUA
rnacentral:misc_RNA from 1 species